GUCUGUGUUCUGGGGAGACAAAAGGCCACCACAGUACUACACAAGCUUCAGUCUAGGAAGAAUGGACAAGAUACUGAAAGCGACAUUAUUAGUCAUAACCCUUCACCUAGCCUGGGUGAGUGGCCAGCGGGAGAGACCUGACCAGCAGCUGGUGAGACAAAGCCACCAAUCUCUGACAGUCUGGGAAGGAGAGAUUUCAGUUCUAAACUGCACUUAUGAGGACAACACAUUUAACUACUUCCCAUGGUAUCGGCAGUUCCCUGGUGAAGGCCCUGCAUUACUGAUAGACAUACGUUCAGUGUCAAACAAAAAGGAAGAUGGAAGAUUCACAGUCUUCUUCAGUAAAAGUGAUAAACAGCUCUCCUUGCACAUCAGAGAUUCUCAGCCUGGAGACUCGGCCACCUACUUCUGUGCAGCAAGUGCACAGUGAUCUCCAAGCACCUGCAGCCCACACUGAAACCUCCAGCAAAACCCUGCUGUGGGGUUUGAAUCUGGCAAAGGUGCAGAGGAGUUUUCCUUUGCAGGAAAUGUCUGGUGACUCAGUAAACUUAAGGAUUAGAUUCAUUCAGGCCACAGACAGUUGAAAUUAUAGCUUGCCUUUUUCCAGUCUCCCUUUGCUACCCAGGCAUCCCUGAAGUUUUACAUGUAUUUACUCAACUAGUUUAGGCGAAUACAAAUAGUUCUCUGUGUGCUUGGUUUUUAGUUUAGUUUAGUUUGUAGUUUUAUUUUGUUUUGUUUUGUUUUGUUUGUUUGUUUGUUUUUGAGAUAAGGUUUCUCUGCAGCUUUGGAGCCUGUCCUGGACGUGUACUUGGUUUUUAUCAAAUGAAAUUUAUAAAGUCCCCAUCGCCCUAUACCCUUGUCAACAGUGUUGUUAAUGUGUGGUUAUUACACCCCAAGGCUUUCAUUGUGACUUUUGUGCUGGAAAUCAUAUAGAAUAGUCUUUUGCCUUACUUUCCCUCUGAUGACAAGGGCAGCAGUGAUUUAUCUGACCAUUGUCCACUUCUAAUUCCUCUUAUUUUGUCACUUAUAUACCCAAGUACCUCAAGAAAUUCAACUGUGUUAACUUAAACAUACUCACAAGACAGUAGAUGUGUCUAAAAUAG